rnacentral:lncRNA from 1 species
UUUUUUCUAUUCUUCUCUCUAUACGUUGGUGUUCUAACCAAUAAUCACCGAUGCGAUAUUCUGUCCGAUCAAUUCGGGAACCAACUAACGAAUGCCAAAGUGCUGUCUAAACAAGACAAUACUUUGUGAAUUUUGUUAAGGUUCUGAAACGAAUGCCAAUGUGCUGUCUAAACAAGACUAUACUUUGUGAAUCUCGUUAAGGUUCUGAAAUGAAUUCCAAAGUGUUGUCUAAACAAGACUAUACUUUGUGAAUUUCGUUAAGGUUCUGAUCUCGUGACCAUCAUUAAGUUUGAUUUGGUAAAAAACUAACACGUAUUCCACUCUGAUAAACUAAAUGUUUAAAUACCCGAAACUCUGCACUGUACACUUACAAUUAAAAUAGAUGCUCAAUCAUCAGAAGAUUCAGAACUAUAAAGUAGAUGCUUGUUUAAUCAAGACUAUAUGCUAACAAGGUAAUUACAGUAGAUUGGAAUAAGAGUGAUGAUAUGGCACCGAAAGGCUUAAAGAAGUGGCUUAUUUUAUCAAUUGAAUUAAAUUAAGCAAACAUGGUUUCAUAUAUUCGGGUUUAUCCCUUAUUAAAGCUACCUUUGUAAAACAUGGGUUUUACCCCAUCUAUUUAAUAAAUAAAAUCCAGUGUUUUCUAAACUCUGAUAUUUUUCCUACCUCACGGUACUGAUGAACAUUUCCGCUGCAAUGUUUUUAAAAUAACCACCAGUACCACUUGACUGUUCAUGACUGUCGUCCAGGGUGUGGUCGGGGGUCGUGAUAGAGGUGGUAUCAGAGCUAAGCCACUUGUUUAAGCAAUUAGGUGUUGUAAUAAUACCUAAGCUUAAACAAAAAAGUUAGGAAAUUGUUAUUAACUGGUAGCAACAUGGAUAGUAUUUAGACUUGAACUUAAGAAAGAUGCCUUAGUAUAAGCUUCGAGAUAAACUAAUUACUUGCGUAGAUAAAAUGUGAUGGGUGUUAGUAUGCCGUGAGGAUGAUGACUAGAACGUUGCAAGUAUGGUAAAUAAGCGAUAACACUUGGCCACUGUUAUUUCUUGUUUAUUGGUACUACUGGGUUCUAGAAUAUGAUCCAUCAUGUGAAUACUAAUUACCUUGUUCUUUGAUAAAAUCUCUAAUAAAAGAUUCAUUUUUAAUCAUGAAUUGAGAAGAUUCUAUUUAUGGGAAAUACAAAUUACCUAUCCGGCGAGAACCAGGUAAGAUGGGGUUACCUCUCUGGCAAGAACCGGAUAAGAUGGGGUAUAUAAUAUGUCAAACUAGUGACAGAAUUCCCUAAAUAGUAUCAUGACCUGAUAUCUGGCUUGUUUUUCGAAAUAUGAAUCUUUUAAAUACAUUAACCUUAUGCAAGGUUUGUAUAUUACAAUAUGUGAAAUAUAUGAUUAUAUAGAUACGUAUAUCUAUAAGGAAAUCCAAAAACCAUAAGGAUUGAUAAUUUAAAAUACAUCACGAGCCUGAGUGUCAAUAAUAAUUCCAGAAAUUUUUAUCAGGAAUCUCUCGUAUACAUCUAUAAUUCCGACAUCGAAAACUAUUCCAUUUGAUCACCCGUCUCGUAACUCGUGCGACAAGAUGAACGAUGUGAACCCUUAAAGUUGGGACGCCAUCGAAAGUAUAAGAAUUCCCUCUGCGUUAUCUUAGAUUAUUAACGCAUUAGGAAAAGUUGUGCUAGGUACAAAACAUCUCAAAACCUACGCUAAUGAGAGUAAUUCUGCUUUCUUUAAGAACUCUUGCGAAGAUAACAGUAACCACGACUAGAUGCACUUACAAAGACUUUCUUCACCUAUAAUCCCUCUAAGAUUGUCAGUAACAAAGGACUAAAGUUGUCCUAACCAUUAGUAUAUAUGUUAAGAAAAAUGAAGUAAUGUAUGCUUCAAAAUUUAGACAUUUAGAUAGUGAAACCCGAUCUUCGAAACACAGGAUCAAGACAUAUGCCAUGAAAUGGAAUGAAUGAAAAGAACUGACAGAAAGGAAAUCUUGUCUACUUCAUAAAAAGGAAUAACAUGGAAACGAUGAUUCCAGAGGUGAUUGCUGACUUAGGUUUAGAUUUGCAAGCCAACCGGAGAAGUGACCACAAGGAGACAAGACAGACCAGCCGAAAAAGUUUAUCUCUGUGAUGAAAGCUGCGAGUUAUGCAUGGAAGUAAGACAUAGCUUAUAUGGUCUCGUAAUUCGUUAACACUAGAGGCAUGGAACUGAAAGAAAUUCCGACCAAUGUUUUCCCAGAGGAUCUAUUUGGGCUAUCACCUGAUCGUGAGGAAAAACUCAGAAUUCGUCUGAUACUAGAAACAACAUCGCUUGUUAUAUCACAAAGAUAAGACUAAGGGAGUAGUUGAUGCUUUAAGUCAUAAGUUUCAUAAGAAGCCGAAACAAGUGCGUGCUCUUAGAUUAAAGUACGAAUAGAUUUAAUGAAACAAUUAAAUAGUACCCAAGAACACAGCAACCAAAAAUGAUGCUGAAG